GUUAUGUACAAAGGUUGCAAAAAGCCACAGGCAGAAGUUACUGAGUUAUGAUCAAGCACAGAAUAAAUGUUCGUUUUGCCAGUUUUCUCUCAAAAAGAAAAUAUUAACAUCUGUUACAUUUAGCUCACAGAGAUCUCAAACAGCCCUUUGAUUCAUUUAGCAGGUGCUGCCUUUGGCUUAUUUAAAAGGUACUCUGAAUACCCAUUAUACAAUUUAUAACACAAUCCAUGGAUGCUGGAAGCAGAUUGUAAUGCAUUCUAUGGGACUUCCUGAGGGUUCCAGCUCAUGUGGAGAGCUUCCAGAGACGUAGCUUGUCAGACUACAAUAGCUUCUCUGAGCUGUGAAAUCCCAGAAGUGCAAGACAGAGAAGAGAUCAUGCGUGCUGCAGUGACACAGCUAAAAGAAUGGAAGACAAAUCGAAUGAUGGAUGGAGUAGAGGAAGGAAAGCCAAAUCUUGCAGCCCUUUGGGAAUGGGAGAUUUCCUCAGGAUGCAGAAAUAUGCACACAAGCAGGUGCAUAUCUAUGCACAGUGGUACUGCUUUAAAUGUGAAGCUUCCUCUAACUGACUGGGUUUGCAAUCAAGAGCCUUAUGCAUUGUUGUAUAGGACGGUCUGGAAAGCUUUAGAAAAAUGAAAUGUUGGCUCAUUUCUCAUGCCUUGCACACAGGGUAGGCAAACUGCAACUUGUGGGUGAAAUGUGGAUCCUGCCAAUAUUUUUAGGGCCCCUGUAUCCAUGGAGCCCCUGACACUCCUCACACACUCAGCAGUGAUUUCAGCUGUUGGCAGGUUCUUCUCCUGAAAAUUAAGAUAAGUCAAAGGAAAAAGGGAGGGGAAAGCCUUCUUUGCCUCCUCCUGUCUUGUGCCACUUCUGGGAGGAUGUUUUCUAUUUUUUUAAUUAAUGAUGCAGCACAUCAGCACUGCCUUAAUACUGUCUAAUCCCCCCGACACUUCCUCUGCCCCUCCAUGGUGCAGAGGAAGCAUUUAAUUAGCCAAUAUUGUGAAGUGGCUGUGUGGGAAAUCACAAGCUGAAGGAGCCUUUGGUUUUUUCCAGCGACCACCCCAAACAGAGCAAUUCAAAUACAUGCAUCAAAAAAGUAGAAGCCCUUGACAGGGACCCAGAAAGGUAUGGAUAGGAAUGCUUGGGGGAUAGUCUGGUUCAUUCCAGUGAUUAGGACCUAUGGUUGCUGGAAAAAAAGGAGUGAACCAGCCUGUCCCCACAGUGGAACAAACAGCGGUUAAAUACCCAUCUGAUAGCAUCCUAAAAGAGAAAGAUUAUUUCACAUUCCAAGGAUUGGUUCUGGGUGUGUAAUGUGAACAUUCCUUGGGCUUUUUGUUGUAGUUGUCAUGUGCCAUGAAGUCUCCUCCAACCCCAGCAACCCUAUGAAUGAACAAUCUCCAAAAUGUCCUGACUUCAACAGUCCUGUUCAGCUCCUGUAAACUCAAGCCUCUUCAGGGAGUCAAUUCAUUUCAUGUUUGGUUUUCCUCUUUUUCUGCUGCCUUCAGCUUUUCCUAGCAUUAUUGUCUUUCCAGAGAAUCUUGCCUUCUCAUGAGGUGGCCAAAGCAGAUGCCGAAAAUCCAGUAUCCAAU
ensembl:lncRNA